rnacentral:rRNA from 1 species
AUUGAACGCUGGCGGCAGGCUUAACACAUGCAAGUCGAGCGGAGAUGAGGUGCUUGCACCUUAUCUUAGCGGCGGACGGGUGAGUAAUGCUUAGGAAUCUGCCUAUUAGUGGGGGACAACAUUCCGAAAGGAAUGCUAAUACCGCAUACGUCCUACGGGAGAAAGCAGGGGAUCUUCGGACCUUGCGCUAAUAGAUGAUCCUAAGGCGGAUUAGCUAGUUGGUGGGGUAAAGGCCUACCAAGGCGACGAUCUGUAGCGGGUCUGUGAGGAUGAUCCGCCACACUGGGACUGAGACACGGCCCAGACUCCUACGGGAGGCAGCAGUGGGGAAUAUUGGACAAUGGGGGGAACCCUGAUCCAGCCAUGCCGCGUGUGUGAAGAAGGCCUUAUGGUUGUAAAGCACUUUAAGCGAGGAGGAGGCUACUGAGACUAAUACUCUUGGAUAGUGGACGUUACUCGCAGAAUAAGCACCGGCUAACUCUGUGCCAGCCGCCGCCGUAA